rnacentral:rRNA from 1 species
GAGUUUGAUCAUGGCUCAGGAUGAACGCUAGCGGAGGCCUAACACAUGCAAGCCGAGCGGUAUUGUUUCUUCGGAAAUGAGAGAGCGGCGUACGGGUGCGGAACACGUGUGCAACCUGCCUUUAUCUGGGGGAUAGCCUUUCGAAAGGAAGAUUAAUACUCCAUAAUAUAUUGAACGGCAUCGUUUAAUAUUGAAAGCUCCGGCGGAUAGAGAUGGGCACGCGCAAGAUUAGCUAGUUGGUGAGGUAACGGCUCACCAAGGCGAUGAUCUUUAGGGGCCUGAGAGGGUGAUCCCCCACACUGGUACUGAGACACGGACCAGACUCCUACGGGAGGCAGCAGUGAGGAAUAUUGGUCAAUGGGUGCAAGCCUGAACCAGCCAUCCCGCGUGAAGGACGACUGCCCCUAUGGGUUGUAAACUUCUUUUGUAUAGGGAUAAACCUACCCUCGUGAGGGUAGCUGAAGGUACUAUACGAAUAAGCACCGGCUAACUCCGUG